CAGCAGCCGCGGGAAAACGUAGGUGGCAUGCGUUGUCCGGAAUUAUUGGGCGUAAAGGGCUCGCAGGCGGUUUCUUAAGUCUGAUGUGAAAGCCCCCGGCUCAACCGGGGAGGGUCGUUGGAAACUGGGAAACUUGAGUGCAGAAGAGGAGAGUGGAAUUCCACGUGUAGCGGCGAAAUGCGUAGAGAUGUGGAGGAACACCAGUGGCGAAGGCGACUCUCUGGUCUGUAACUGACGCUGAGGAGCGAAAGCGUGGGGAGCGAACAGGAUUAGAUACCCGCGUAGUCCCUGUCUCUUAUAC
rnacentral:rRNA from 1 species